rnacentral:rRNA from 1 species
GCGUUCUAAGGGCGACGAAGGCAGACCGUGAGGACUGUUGGAGCGCUUAGAAGUGAGAAUGCCGGUAUGAGUAGCGAAAGAUAGGUGAGAAUCCUAUCCACCGUAUGACUAAGGUUUCCUGGGGAAGGCUCGUCCUCCCAGGGUUAGUCGGGACCUAAGCCGAGGCCGAGAGGCGUAGGCGAUGGAUAACAGGUUGAGAUUCCUGUACUAGUUAAACUUGUUUGAACAAUGGAGGGACGCAGGAGGCUAAGGAAUGCACCCGAUUGGAAGUGGGUGUCCAAGCCGUAAGUCUGAAAUCGAGUCAAAUGCUUGAUUUCUUAAGGACAAGCGGUGAUGGGGAGUGAAAUUUAAGUAACGAAGUUCCUGACGUCACGCUGCCGAGAAAAGCUUCUAGUUAGAGUUUAACUACCCGUACCGCAAACCGACACAGGUAGUCGAGGAGAGUAUCCUAAGG